GAGUUUGAUCCUGGCUCAGGACGAACGCUGGCGGCGUGCUUAACACAUGCAAGUCGUGCGAGAACGUCCACUUCGGUGGGCAAGUAAAGCGGCGGACGGGUGAGUACCACGUGAGCAACCUUCCCGGUUGCGGGGGACAACCCAGGGAAACCUGGGCUAAUACCGCAUGCAUGCGCCAUCCCGCGGGGGAUGUCGUGAAAGCCGGCCUCUCGGAGAAGCCGGCGCGACCGGAUGGGCUCGCGUCCUAUCAGCUGGUUGGUGAGGUAACGGCUCACCAAGGCGAAGACGGGUAGCUGGCGUGAGAGCGCGACCAGCCACACUGGGACUGAGACACGGCCCAGACUCCUACGGGAGGCAGCAGUGGGGAAUCUUGCGCAAUGGGCGAAAGCCUGACGCAGCGACGCCGCGUGAGGGAGGAAGGCCUUCGGGUUGUAAACCUCUGUCCGGUGGGACGAACCGUGGGUCGGUGACAGCCGGCCCGCCUGACGGUACCGCCGAUAGGAAGCUCCGGCUAACUCCGUGCCAGCAGCCGCGGUAACACGGGGGGAGCGAGCGUUGUCCGGAAUCACUGGGCGUGCAGGGCGCGUAGGCGGCCGGGUAAGUCGCGUGUGAAAGGCCACGGCUCAACCGUGGACAGCCACGCGAUACUGUCCGGCUAGAGACAGGCAGGGGCGAGCGGAACUCCCGGUGUAGCGGUGGAAUGCGUAGAUAUCGGGAAGAACACCCGUGGCGAAGGCGGCUCGCUGGGCCUGUUCUGACGCUGAAGCGCGAAAGCGUGGGGAGCGAACAGGAUUAGAUACCCUGGUAGUCCACGCCGUAAACGCUGGGCACUAGAUGUUGGAGGGCUAGGACCCUUCAGUGUCGCAGCUAACGCAUUAAGUGCCCCGCCUGGGGAGUACGGCCGCAAGGCUGAAACUCAAAGGAAUUGACGGGGGCCUGCACAAGCGGUGGAGCAUGUGGUUUAAUUCGAAGCAACGCGAAGAACCUUACCUGGGCUUGACAUGUCGGUGGUAGGUGCCUGGAAACCGGCGCCGACCCUUCGGGGAGCCGUCACAGGUGCUGCAUGGCAGUCGUCAGCUCGUGUCGUGAGAUGUUGGGUUAAGUCCCGUAACGAGCGCAACCCUCGCCCCUAGUUGCCAGCGGGUCAUGCCGGGGACUCUAGGGGAACUGCCGGUGACAAACCGGAGGAAGGUGGGGAUGACGUCAAGUCAUCAUGGCCCUUAUGUCCAGGGCGACACACGUGCUACAAUGGCCGGUACAAAGGACAGCGAACCCGCGAGGGCGAGCGAAUCCCAAAAAGCCGGUCCAAGUUCGGAUUGCAGUCUGCAACCCGACUGCAUGAAGCCGGAAUCGCUAGUAUCGUGGGUCAGCCAUACUACGGUGAAUACGUUCCCGGGCCUUGUACACACCGCCCGUCAAGCGAUGGAAGUCGGGGUUACCCGAAGCCGGUGGCCCAACCCUUCGGGGAGGGAGCCGUCGAAGGUUAGCCCGGUGACUGGCGCUAAGUCGUAACAAGGUAGCCGUACGGCUACCU
rnacentral:rRNA from 1 species